rnacentral:tRNA from 1 species
GGCCUCAUCGUCUAGUGGUCAGGACGCCGGGUUUUCAUCCCGGAAACCGGGGUUCGAUUCCCCGUGGGGCUA